rnacentral:rRNA from 1 species
CCUACGGGUGGCAGCAGUGAGGAAUAUUGGUCAAUGGGCGCUAGCCUGAACCAGCCAAGUAGCGUGAAGGAUGACUGCCCUAUGGGUUGUAAACUUCUUUUAUAUGGGAAUAAAGUGCGGCAUGUAUACUUCUUUGCAUGUACCUUAUGAAUAAGGAUCGGCUAACUCCAUGCCAGCAGCCUCGGUAAUACGGAGGAUCCGAGCGUUAUCCAGAUUUAUUGGGUUUAAAGGGAGCGUAUGCGGGUUGUUAAGUCAGUUGUGAAAUGUUGCGGCUCAACCGUAAAAUUGCAGUUGAUACUGGCAUCCUUGAGUACAGUUGAGGUAGGCGGAAUGCGUGGUGUAGCGGUGAAAUGCUUAGAUAUCACGAAGAACUCCGAUUGCGAAGGCAGCCUACUGGCCUGUAACUGACGCUGAUGCUCGAAAGUGUGGGUAUCAAACAGGAUUAGAGACCCUUGUAGUC